rnacentral:rRNA from 1 species
UAAGGAAUAUUGGUCAAUGGACGCAAGUCUGAACCAGCCAUGCCGCGUGAAGGAUUAAGGCCCUCUGGGUUGUAAACUUCUUUUAUAGGGGAAGAAAUGUGACGGUUCUCCGUCACUUGACGGUACCCUGGGAAUAAGCACCGGCUAACUCAGUGCCAGCAGCCGCGGUAAUACGGAGGGUGCAAGCGUUAUCCGGAUUCACUGGGUUUAAAGGGUGCGUAGGUGGGCAGAUAAGUCAGUGGUGAAAUCUUCCGGCUUAACCGGGAAACUGCCGUUGUUACUAUUUGUCUUGAAUAUUGCGGAUGUAAGCGGAAUAUGUCAUGUAGCGGUGAAAUGCUUAGAAAUGCCAUAGAACACCAAUUCCGAAAGCAGCUUACUACACAAUCAUUGACACUGAGGCACGAAAGCGUGG